rnacentral:RNase_P_RNA from 1 species
GCGGAUGGCCGGAUGACCGCGAGUGCCCAUAGCUCCGUUUUGCGGACAGCUGGGUGCCCGAGGAAAGUCCGGACUCCAUGAAGUGACGGUGCCGGGUAACGCCCGGGCGGGGCAACCCGACGGAAAGCGCCACAGAAAACAAACCGCCGUGCCUUGGUGCGGUAAGGGUGAAACGGUGGGGUAAGAGCCCACCGCGGGGCUGGUAACAGACCUGGCAUGGCAAGCCCCACCGGGAGCAACGCCGAAUAGGGAUCGUGCGCCGCCCCGGCAAUGGGUGACGGCAGGGGAACUUCGCCCCGAGCGAUCCGGGUUGGCGGCUGGACCCUGCGAGCAAUCGUAGGGCGAGAGGAAUGGUCAUCCAGAGGGGCAACCCUUGGACAGAAUCCGGCUUACAGGCCAUCCGCGCGU